UGGGGGUGCUAACAGCCUCUGUUACAGCUCACGCCCUGCACUCUUCCUGUGGUUUAGUACAUCCUGCUCACACCUUUGUAAAUAGCUCCUUUAUUGAGACUUCCUCAGAUUAUCCUAAUUUGGGUGGGUCACUUGUUUACCUGCUGGGUCCUGACCAACAUAAACCUUACCUGACAGCUCAGUAAAGCAACUGCUCACAUCUCCAGCAGAGUUCAGGGGGAGAUUGGUCUGGUGAAGACAGGUGAGCUGGCCCUCAGGAAGAGGACAGCACGUCGCCUGAUUGCUGGCUGGGGUUCUGGUCAAGAUGGGGCUUCACCCUGUGAACCAUUAGACAGGGAAAUGCCAACCAGCAGACAACUUCCCAAAUAAGAAGCCAUGUUCCUGAACUUGCCCUCACAGGGCAGUGAGGUGAGUCGUACAAAGCGCCCCAGGGUCCUUACUGGGCUCUGGGGGCUACAUCUCCGGUCUGUGCUCAGCCUGAGGGCGAGGCAGUGCUGUGUGCCCGCAGGCUGAACUGGUCUGAGGGCUAAUGGCCUCCUGCUAGAGAGAUGCACACUCCUCAGAGGACGCAGCCAGCAGAAGGCUUCUUCCAGGAACAGUUACUUCCUGUGAGAAAUCCAUCGGGCCCGCUGUAGGCGGGGCUGCAGCUCCCAUAACUUUCCUGCUCUGCUACAGAGACCCAGUUGUCUCCUGCAGGAUCUGCAUUCGAGGCCUCUACCAGCCUGACACACUUGGCCUUGGGCAGAAGGCUGGAAAGCCAUCCAGCACGAGCUCCACCUGCACUCAUGCUGGGAAGCCAUGAGGCAGCCUGGGUGUGCUCAGCACAGCAACUGGCCAGCGAGGAGCACCCUCUGCCUGUCCUGGGCUUGUCUGGCCCCUAACAUCUCAUGAUUGUGUCCUCAGAAGGACAACCUUUACAUCUUUCUCUCCCUUGAUACACCCCCACCCCCAAACCCCAGCACCUCUCAUUUUCUCUUCUUUCUUUCCCAGGCCAUGAAACUGGUAUUACUUUCCCAAUAAAAAAUUUAGUCAGUCUGGCUGUUGUCCUAUCCUGAUGAGAAAGGACCUCUGUGGUGGACUAUUAUUAUUCAAAAGACUCAUGGUCCCUCCUCCAGCUCCUCCCCUGCCACCUCCCCCUAACACACACACACACACACCCCCCAGAAGAUUAAAUAUCCCUUCCUUUUGAAAUCAGGAGUGGCUGUGUGACUUGCUUGGGCCAGUAAGAUGUAGGCAGAAAUGACAGUGCCACUUCUGAGCAGAGACCUAAGGGCCAGUUGUGGUUCUCUCUGCCUCUUUC
rnacentral:lncRNA from 1 species